rnacentral:lncRNA from 1 species
AGGCCAUCGUUACCGGAAAGGGACCAUUGGAAAACCUUGCCGACCACCUUGCCGAUCCAGUAAACAACAACGCCUGGGCCUUCGCCACAAACUUCGUACCUGGAAAGUGAAGUUGACACACACACAGACACAGAUGAGUGUAACGAAUUCGGAGGUGAUUACGAAUGAUGUAAAGUUAUUGUGAAUUAUUGGAAUAUUAUAUAUAAUGCCUAGUUUUAUGAAUGUAAAUGUUCCUUUUUCCGUCUCUGCAUUCGUAUUAACAAACCUGAUGAGUUAUCAGACGAUAGAUUCAUAAAUGGAUAGAAAUAAUUAACAAAGAACAAUAGCAGUAUAUUGGAACAUUGAUCUAGGAUGAAAGUACUAAAAUUGGAAACACAACUGAAUUAUCAAGUAAAAUAAGUAGAGCAAAGCAAUCAUAAAUGGAUGCAAUACGAGAGACCAAAUGUAUACCUUGUAUAUGUAUUUUCAUAUGCCUCUCGAUGAAAAUAAGAUGCUACUGAAUUUAAGCUCAAUUAUGGAGCUUGUUGUUACCUACCCACGCAAUCUGGAAUGAGGAUCGACGAAGAAGAAGAAGAGGGGAAUUAUCGAAUUAGGGCUCAAAGCUGCAUAAUUAGGCGUUGAAUGAUACGACAACGUUUUUGGGCACUGGAAAUAAUAUAUUUCAAGUAAGUCCGAUUGGGCUUUAUGGAUCGAAU